rfam:Coprococcus catus GD/7 draft genome.
GCAGAUAUGUUUCAUCGGUAGAAUGCUAGCUUCCCAAGCUGGAGAGGGGGGUUCGACUCCCCUUAUCUGCU